UCCAGACUCCUACGGGAGGCAGCAGUGAGGAAUAUUGGUCAAUGGCCGCAGGGCUGAACCAGCCAAGUCGCGUGAGGGAUGACGGUCCUAUGGAUUGUAAACCUCUUUUGUCAGGGAGCAAUUGGCGCUACGUGUAGCGUUAUCGAGAGUACCUGAAGAAAAAGCAUCGGCUAACUCCGUGCCAGCAGCCGCGGUAAUACGGAGGAUGCGAGCGUUAUCCGGAUUUAUUGGGUUUAAAGGGUGCGCAGGCGGCACGGCAAGCCGGCGGUCAAAUCGCGGGGCUCAACCCCGCCCAGCCGUCGGAACUGCCGGGCUAGAGUGGGCGAGAAGUGCGCGGAAUGCGUGGUGUAGCGGUGAAAUGCAUAGAUAUCACGCAGAACUCCGAUUGCGAAGGCGGCGUACCGGCGCCCAACUGACGCUGAAGCACGAAGGCGUGGGUAUCGAACAGGAUUAGAUACCCGUGUA
rnacentral:rRNA from 1 species